rnacentral:rRNA from 1 species
AUACGGAGGAUCCGAGCGUUAUCCGGAUUUAUUGGGUUUAAAGGGAGCGUAGGCGGACGCUUAAGUCAGUUGUGAAAGUUUGCGGCUCAACCGUAAAAUUGCAGUUGAUACUGGGUGUCUUGAGUACAGUAGAGGCAGGCGGAAUUCGUGGUGUAGCGGUGAAAUGCUUAGAUAUCACGAAGAACUCCGAUUGCGAAGGCAGCCUGCUGGACUGUAACUGACGCUGAUGCUCGAAAGUGUGGGUAUCAAACAGGAUUAGAUACCCUGGUAGUCCACACAGUAAACGAUGAAUACUCGCUGUUUGCGAUAUACAGUAAGCGGCCAAGCGAAAGCGUUAAGUAUUCCACCUGGGGAGUACGCCGGCAACGGUGAAACUUAAAUGAAUUGGCGGGG